AAUCCAUAGGUUAAUGAGGCGAACCGGGGGAACUGAAACAUCUAAGUACCCCGAGGAAAAGAAAUCAACCGAGAUUCCCCCAGUAGCGGCGAGCGAACGGGGAGGAGCCCAGAGCCUGAAUCAGCAUGUGUGUUAGUGGAAGCGUCUGGAAAGGCGCGCGAUACAGGGUGACAGCCCCGUACACAAAAGCGCAUGUGCUGUGAGCUCGAUGAGUAGGGCGGGACACGUGGUAUCCUGUCUGAAUAUGGGGGGACCAUCCUCCAAGGCUAAAUACUCCUGACUGACCGAUAGUGAACCAGUACCGUGAGGGAAAGGCGAAAAGAACCCCGGCGAGGGGAGUGAAAAAGAACCUGAAACCGUGUACGUACAAGCAGUGGGAGCCCCACCACCAAAGCAUUUGCUGUACCGCGUUGACGGAGCGAAGCGACGUCAAACCGAUAAAACAGCAGUGUAAAGUGAGCCGCAGGGCGCUUUG
rnacentral:rRNA from 2 species